rnacentral:rRNA from 1 species
CUAGGGAUGAGCCCGCGGCCUAUCAGCUUGUCGGUGGCAGUGACGGCCUACCAAGGCGAGGACGGGUAGCCGGCCAGAGAGGGCGACCGGCCACACUGGGACUUAGACACUUUCCCAGAGUCGUAAUGGAGGCAGCAGUGGGGAAUAUUGCACAAUGGGCGCAAGCCUGGAGGCAGAUACGCCGCGUGUGUGGAUGACCGCCUUCGGGUUGUAAA